GGGCCUGUAACUUAGCGGUUAGAGUGCUCGGCUCAUAACCGAGCUGUCACUGGUUCAAAUCCUGUCAGGCCCA
rnacentral:tRNA from 1 species